rnacentral:rRNA from 1 species
AGUCUAUUCAGAGGAACUUGUUUUAUAAUCGAUAAUCCUCGAUGGACCUUACUUAAAUUAGAAUAACAGUUUAUAUACCGUCGUUAUUAGAAUAUUUUAUAAGAAUUUUAAUUUUCAUAAAUUUUUAUUUUAAAAAUAUAUCAGAUCAAGGUGUAGCUAAUGUUUAAGUAAAAAUGAGUUACAAUAAAUUUAUUUAAACGAAUAUAAAUUUGAAACAUUUAUUGAAGGUGGAUUUGAUAGUAAAAUUAUAAAGAUAAUUAUUUUGAUUUUAGCUCUAAAAUAUGUACAUAUCGCCCGUCACUCUUGUUAUUAAUAUAAGAUAAGUCGUAACAUAGUAGAUGUACUGGAAAGUGUUUCUAGAAUACAAUUUAAAUCUUAAUUAGUAAAGUAUUUCAUUUACAUUGAAAAGAUUUUUGUGCAAAUCAAUUUAAAUUGAUUAAAUUUUAUUUAUUAAUUAUAUUUUUUAUUAAAAAUAAUUUUAAAAUUAAAUGUUUAAGUAUUUUAUAAAGAAAGAAUAAAUUUAAUGAUAGUUUAGUAGUAUUGAAAAAGAAAAUUGAAAUAUAUGAAAAAUAAUUAUUAUAAAAGAAAAUU